AUGAUCACCAACCCAGAAACAUUGUGUGCACAAGUCUUGAGAGCAAAGUACUUUCCGGAUGGGAAUUUAUUAAAAGCCGGUCCAAAAAAGGGAUCAUCCUAUACUUGGCAGAGUAUUGUUGCUGGGUUACAAACUUUCAGGAGAGGAUAUAUUUGGAGAGUUGGAUCAGGGGAGAAAAUAAAUAUCUGGGAAGAUCACUGGGUGCCAAGUAGUCCCACAAGAAUGGUCUACACCAGGAAAGGUAACACUCUUCUUAGAACAGUGGAUGAACUCAUUGAUCCAUACACAGGAUCAUGGGACGAACAGUUGAUAAGAAGCAUUUUUAUAACAGUUGAUGCGGAAAGAGUUUUGAGAAUUCCUCCCUCAGAACAUUUGCAGGAGGACUUUGUGGCGUGGCAUAGGACCAAAUCUUUUACAUUCUCAGUUCGUUCAGCUUAUUACACAGAAUGGGAGCACUAAUUUGGUUCCCAGAGUACCACUACCGUGGGGUCAGCUGGUACUAAUCCGGUCUGGGCUGUGAUUUGGAAACUCAAAGUCCCUAGCAAGGUUAAAAUAUACAUGCGGCGGGCUCUACGUGGAGUGAUCCCGGGCAUGGGGGUUUUGGCACACAGGCACAUCAAAGUGUCUCCCCAAUGCCCUAUUUGUCAACAAGAAGCGGAAGACAUUCGUCACCUACUUUUCACAUGUAUGCGCGCACAAACAGUAUGGUCUGCCCUUGGUAUUUCAGACUUGAUAGAUAGAGCUUUGGCUGUCGAUCGUUCUGGAUCUGUGGUGCUUGAAGAACUUUUAAGAUGGCCGAAGCAGAAAUCUCCGGUCCUCGGACAACUUGGUUUUCAAGAAACUGUGGCUGUUGGUGCCUGGUACAUUUGGUGGGAGAGAAGAGAGGCCUUGAAAGGAGUUAGCAUCAAGACUCCGGCGAGCUCAGCUUUUUCAAUCCAUGCAAUUAUAGCAAAUAAUGCAGGACACUUGCCAAAGGAGUCCGUGGAGAGAGUUACAUGGAGUAAACCACCCAUCAGCAUGUACAAGGUAAACACUGAUGCCUCCUUUUUUGAGGAUGGAUCGGGUGCAGUUGCAGCAGUGGUCCGUGUUGGGGAACGUAGUAAUUUCAAAAAAAUUCCUACGCACACGCAAGAUCAUGGUGAUGCAUAG
rnacentral:rRNA from 1 species